rnacentral:tRNA from 1 species
CGGCACGUAGCGCAGCCACCGGUAGCGCACUGUCAUGGGGUGUCAGGGGUCGGAGGUUCAAAUCCUCUCGUGCCGA